AUCGGCAACAAGCUGUCUUUGUUUUUUUGCGGAUUUGGAACAACUGUACUGUGACUGAGGCCGGCAUUGCGUAUAGUUCAGAUGGUAGCAUUAGGGCAAUUGAUGAUGAUAAUGAUGAUAAAACAAGUAGUGAUCAGCCAUUUACAAAUGAGGGUGAUGGAGGGAUGAAUACUGCUGGGGAAACAAUGAGUAUUGUUGAGAGUAGACCUGUAAAGGACCACUCUAGACAAAGAGGUUGGAGUACAACGUUAUCAAGUUAUGGUAGUGCUCCCAGAACCAGCAAACGGUCGCAUGCGGUUGGACACAUGGAGGAGAGAAUCAUUUUCGCAGGAUCCUCAAAACCGUGUCUUUUUGACACAACUGCUGACAGCUACAUUGACAUAAACACAAAAAAUGCUGCUUGGAGACAAGUGUCCACGAUAGUAGGAUUGCCAGAAGAAGACUGUAGGAGGAAGUGGAGAGGACUCGGGGACAGGUAUCAGAGAGAGAGAAGGGCAGAAAAAGAGAAGAAGAGGUCUGGGUCAGCAGCUUCAGGCCAGCAGCCUUGGUGCUUCUGUCACAUUCUUUCUUUUCAGGAUCCAUUUAUUGUGCCUAGUGCAACCGGUGGCAAUUUUACAGCCAGACCCUUUACUUCAUCCACAAGUGUGGGCGCCACCGGUGCAUCCAGACCCUCUACGUCAUUUACAAGUGAGACCACCGCCUCCACGGGUGCAGCGAGACCCUCUACAUCAUCCACAAGUAUGACCACCACCGGUGCAGCCACGGAAGAUGAUGAAAUGGAGGAAGCACGUCUGGAUCUAGGACCACUUGAGAUUAUUAUGACCCUCAAGGAAGUGACCACUGAGGACCUUGAACAGGAUGUGGCCGUGGAGACAAACGAGGAGAGAAACAUGGAGAAAUGAAGAGGAACAACGUCACACCAGGCACUAUCGGAGGUAGGAGCCCCCAGAUCCCCUCAACUCAUUUCAGCAGAGGCUCCUCCAAGCCAUCGGGAGGGAUGCAGCCCAACCUGAUGCUCACAGGAAGGAGGAUUAAGAAACCCUCUUUGCCAUGAGCCUGUUGCCAACACUGAAGAGGCUGCCUCAGCAAAGAAAAGCAGCAGUCAGGGUUAAAAUUCAUCAGCAGCUACACAUUCACUUUUAGUUUUUUCAGACACACACACCUUUCCUCCACUCCUCUCUGUACCUCAGAUCUACAGUGCCCUGCCCUCUCUACCUUUAUGGCCAUGUCUGAAGUCCCCCUACUAUGUCUAGGCUUUAUGAGUAGUCCCUGUAUCUGUCUGCAGUUCCCCUACUACGUCUAGGCUUUAUGAGUAAUCCCUGUAUCUGCCUGCAGUUCCCCUACUACGUCUAGGCUUUGAGUAGUCCCUGUAUCUGUCUGCAGUUCCCCUACUACGUCUAGGCUUUAUGAGUAGUCCCUGUAUCUGUCUGCAGUUCCCCUACUACGUCUAGGCUUUAUGAGUAGUCCCUGUAUCUGUCUGCAGUUCCCCUACUACGUCUAGGCUUUAUGAGUAGUCCCUGUAUCUGUCUGAAGUUCCCCUACUACGUCUAGGCUUUAUGAGUAGUCCCUGUAUCUGUCUGCAGUUCCCCUACUACGUCUAGGCUUUAUGAGUAGUCCCUGUAUCUGUCUGCAGUUCCCCUACUACGUCUAGGCUUUGAGUAGUCCCUGUAUCUGUCUGCAGUUCCCCUACUACGUCUAGGCUUUAUGAGUAGUCCCUGUAUCUGUCUGCAGUUCCCCUACUACGUCUAGGCUUUAUGAGUAGUCCCUGUAUCUGUCUGCAGUUCCCCUACUACGUCUAGGCUUUGAGUAGUCCCUGUAUCUGUCUGCAGUUCCCCUACUACGUCUAGGCUUUAUGAGUAGUCCCUGUAUCUGUCUGCAGUUCCCCUACUACGUCUAGGCUUUAUGAGUAGUCCCUGUAUCUGUCUGCAGUUCCCCUACUACGUCUAGGCUUUAUGAGUAGUCCCUGUAUCUGUCUGCAGUUCCCCUACUACGUCUAGGCUUUAUGAGUAGUCCCUGUAUCUGUCUGCAGUUCCCCUACUACGUCUAGGCUUUAUGAGUAGUCCCUGUAUCUGUCUGCAGUUCCCCUACUACGUCUAGGCUUUAUGAGUAGUCCCUGUAUCUGUCUGCAGUUCCCCUACUACAUCUAGGCUUUAUGAGUAGUCCCUGUAUCUGUCUGCAGUUCCCCUACUAUGUCUAGGCUUUAUGAGUAGUCCCUGUAUCUGUCUGCAGUUCCCCUACUACGUCUAGGCUUUAUGAGUAGUCCCUGUAUCUGUCUGCAGUUCCCCUACUACGUCUAGGCUUUAUGAGUAGUCCCUGUAUCUGUCUGCAGUUCCCCUACUACGUCUAGGCUUUAUGAGUAGUCCCUGUA
rnacentral:lncRNA from 1 species